UAAGCUAGAAGAUUGUGACAC
rnacentral:piRNA from 1 species